AUUUCUUCUGGAAGACCAUGAAGCUUUACAAUAUUAUCAAUAAAGACUUUGGACAAUUCUACGGAGGAGGGUAAUUUUUUUAAAGAGAUGAAAUGGGACAUUUUAGUGAAGCGGUCCACAACAACAAGAAUAGUGGUAAACUGUCGGGAUGGAGGAAGGUCAACAAGAAAAUCCAUAGAAAUGGAUUGCCAAGGUUUUUCUGGAAUAGGUAAGUUAAGUAGUAAUCCAAAAGGUUGAUUAUGUUCAGAUUUGGACCUUUGACAGAUAGGACAAGUUUUGACAUAUAAUUCAAUGGUUCUAUCUUGGCGAGGCCACCAAUAAUAUCUUGAAGUUAGUUCAAGAGUUUUCUUUAUUCCAGGAUGUCCAGCUAGGGGUGAAUCAUGAACCAUUUUGAGUAAUUUGUUCCUGAGAAUGGGAGGAAUAUAAAUUCUAUUUUUAAAGUAAAAUAUACCAUCCUUUUUUGUUAAAUUAGGUGUUUUGGGAAGUUCAAGAUCCUUUUGAUUCAAGUUCCUUAAGUCAUCCUGAAGAGAAGAGAGGAUCCCUAUUAUUUUGUUAGGAGGAUAAACAUCAAUAGAAGUUUUAGAAGGAACUCGAGAAAGAGCGUCAGCCUUUUUAUUUCUAGUUCCAGGUCUGUAUAUUAACUGGAAGUUAAACCGGUUAAAAAAUAGGUUCCAUCUAACUUGUCUAGCCGUAAGGGUUUUAUUAGUAUAAAGAUAUUCAAGAUUUUUAUGGUCUGUAUAGACUAUGAUAGGUUGUUUUGUAUCUUCUAAUAGAUGGCGCCAAUUUUCAAAGGCAGCUUUAACACUUAAUAAUUCCUUUUCACCAAUAGGAUAAUUUUUCUCAGCAGAGCUCAAGGAUCUUGAAAAGAAUGCGACUGGAUGA